rnacentral:tRNA from 1 species
GCCUAUGUAGCUCAGUUGGUAGAGCACAUCCUUGGUAAGGAUGAGGUCACCAGUUCGACUCUGGUCAUAGGCUCCA